UACAGAGGGGGCAAGCGUUAUUCGGAAUUAUUGGGCGUAAAGCGCGUGUAGGCGGCUCGGUAAGUCUGCUGUGAAAGUCCAGGGCUCAACCCUGGAAUGCCGGUGGAAACUGUCGGGCUAGAGUCCGGAAGAGGCGAGUGGAAUUCCUGGUGUAGCGGUGAAAUGCGCAGAUAUCAGGAGGAACACCAAUGGCGAAGGCAGCUCGCUGGGACGGUACUGACGCUGAGACGCGAAAGCGUGGGGAGCAAACAGG
rnacentral:rRNA from 1 species